CCUACGGGGGGCAGCAGUGGGGAAUAUUGGACAAUGGGGGCAACCCUGAUCCAGCCAUGCCGCGUGUGUGAAGAAGGCCCUCGGGUUGUAAAGCACUUUCAGUGAGGAAGAACGCCUGGUGGUUAAUACCCAUCAGGAAAGACAUCACUCACAGAAGAAGCACCGGCUAACUCCGUGCCAGCAGCCGCGGUAAUACGGAGGGUGCGAGCGUUAAUCGGAAUUACUGGGCGUAAAGCGCGCGUAGGUGGCUUGAUAAGCCGGUUGUGAAAGCCCCGGGCUCAACCUGGGAACGGCAUCCGGAACUGUCAAGCUAGAGUGCAGGAGUGGAAGGUAGAAUUCCCGGUGUAGCGGUGAAAUGCGUAGAGAUCGGGAGGAAUACCAGUGGCGAAGGCGGCCUUCUGGACUGACACUGACACUGAGGUGCGAAAGCGUGGGUAGCAAACAGGAUUAGAUACCCCUGUAGUC
rnacentral:rRNA from 1 species